AUUAUAUGUAUUAUUACAAGGCACAAUGGCACAUACAUACAGUGAUACAGCUGCAAUAUACAUGAACACCCUUUGUCUCGCUCCUGCUUUAUCUAUGCAACUGCUGGCAUGCAUGCAAAAGACGCCUCGGGAGAUAAGACCCCUGUUAUUCUGCUAGUACGUAUGCAUGCAUGUGCACGAUCGAUGGGCGCGAUGGUCAUAUCAUCCGUUGGUUCAGUAGUAGGGCUGGAUCUUCCAGCGCUGGUUGUCGCCCUCGCACCACUUCCAGAGCACGACGUCGGUGCCGUCACGGACGCCGCCGUGCCACUUGUCGCCGUGGAGGGCGUCGAAGUUGAGGUAGAUGUUGUUGACCAUGCGGACGCAGCGGAAGCCGUUGCCGACGUCGCGGCUCUCCGUCCACAGCACCGACUCGUCCAAAAAGUCCGGGUUGUAGGGCACCAGGCGCACCGGGUGGGACUGCCCCAGCGAGUGCUUGAUGGCCUCCCCGGUCGCCUUGUUCACCAGCGCGAACGCCGGGUAACCUUCCUCGUCCUUGAUGCUCGUGCUCCACCGCAUGUCCUUGAUCCAGUGCUGGUACUCGUCCUUGGGGUUCGCCGGCGCCAGCACCACCUUCCCGUCGCGGACGCUCAUGGCGUAGUUGGGGUUGGCGCGGCAGUACACCUUCACGGUCGGCUGCGGCGGCAGCGCCCGCCCGCACCCGUUGCCCUCGAUGUUCACCUGCGACAUCCCGUACGGGACCGCCGGAGCGUACCCCGGCGUCGCGAUGCCACCGCCGCCGUAGUACCCGCCGCUGUAGCGCUGAUCGCGGCCGCCGUAGUAUCCGCCGUCCAUGACGAUGGUGCCUUUGUUCGCCGCCUGCUUUUCAACCUCACUCACCUCGAUCAACUACUCCUCUGGCGACUGAUGAGCGAUCGAGAGGCCCUGACGCAGACAAUGCAACGGCCGGGCCGGCAGAUUUAUAGGGCGCUGCCGGUUGCUCCCGGCGUCCCCAGCUGCCCCACUGGUGGUGCAUGUACGUGGUGGCGUUAGCAUCACGCUGCGCGAGGUGGUGGGUAGGCAUCGCAUCGUCAGUGGAUGGAUGGUUGUGCGCGCAUGGGCAGGAAGGACGAUGCCAUGCGAAACUAGCCGAGGGAAAAAGCGAUUCGGUUUCUAGUCGUUCUUGGAAGAAGAAUCCUUAGCAUCUCCAGCAGUAGGAGAAAAAACCAACACAAAGUCUAGUUAUUGGUUAAGAUUAAUCGAUAGCUUGGAAACUUAAAUUCUCGUUAGGAUUAAAGGAGAUUGAGAGAAAAAUUAGUUUAUUUAUUCCCUAAUUCACUUCGAUCCUGGAGAGGAUUCGAGUUUUCAAACUAGCCACAAAAGAGUGUUUUGAAAUUUCAAAGUUGUUCGUUCUCUCCAGCAAAACGAGAAAAUUCCAUGCCCAAUGAGAAAUUAAGGAGCUGUUAUGUCUGAUUUUAAAGGUUCGUUUAGGCGGUGAACAAUAACAAUUAGAUCUUAAAACCAACCAUCCUGAAAACCAGCAUUAUACAUUACCUUUUCUUUCUCUUAACUCAUCUCUCAAUUAUUUAUUUUAGGCAUAUGUAGUGUAGAAAAUGUGAAGAAAAAAACGGUUAAUUGGGGAGGAGAGUUCUCCCCUUUAUUUGAGUGGCUGAGAAAAACAAUCUCAUUAAAGGUUUAGGGGCAUGAAGCUACAAAAUCUAUAUCUCUAUCAUCUAUUAAGAUGAUAGUGUGAUCACAGGUGUAACCAUGCUUCCUUCUGACGCCUAUAGAAAAAUAGUCCAAAAUUAUUACACGGAGAGGGGGAUGAAACCCGUGCGCCUUGGUAAAGGCAGCAGACACUGGCAAUGCUCUGCUACCCACUUAAGCCCAAUCAAGUUUGUGUCUAAUAGUCAAUAGGUGUUAUAAAUAUGUGUAGGCUGAGUUUUCAAAAUAAUAAAAAAUAAUAAUGUCAAGCCAGACUGGCACUACGGGUCGAGACAGCGGCCCAAGCAUGGCACGCCUCUCGUGCCCCUUAUUUUAAUAAUGUCAGGUUGGGCCACGACACUAUUAAAUGGUUCGUGCUUUAGCCCGGUGUUGGUGACUUGUUCUCAAAUGCUAUGAAUUAAGAACAAGGCAACAUAAAAUGUUAAAUAUUAAUGCCCUUCGUCUGCUGAAGCAUUAUCUCCCCAAGGAUUUAAUGAACUUCGGACGAAGGCCAUGAGCAAAAUAUCACGAAGGUCACACCUUCGUGAUCAGACUUAUAAAACAAUGUAAAAUAAAAUAUAAAACAUUAGAGAAAGAUGUACCAAAAACAGAUAACAUUAUUCACAUAUUUUAUUAUAUGGACCUAAAUAUUAAAACAUGAUAUUUAGGUACAUUUAUACCUUCGUCUUGGCAGAAAGCAAUAAUUUCAACGUAAUGUGCCAGCGAUUACAAGAUUGCGUGAACAGUACAUGGGUACUGUUCACCUAUUUAUAGGCACAGGGCGCAUCCUGUGUAAAAUUACAUUUAUGCUAUUUACAAUCGAUUACAAUAAUGACACAAAACACCAUGGGUCUUUAAGUCAUUUCAUCUUUAAGUCGGUUCACCCCUUCGUCUUGAGAUCUGUCAUUGUGCCGAAGCUUAUAGGUGAUAGCUUCGUCGCUACUCCUGAUAGGAUCUGCCGAAGGUGUUCUCUUUCUUUAGGAUCUUCGGCUACGGAGCAUACCCCCAACACCCGGUCCAAUAGGUGCGACCCAUUUGGCUAUCUAUAUCGCGCCCUCCCUCCACUCCAUCGUCAGUCGCAAGACCAUCCCAUGUUCCACGCACCGCUGCACAACCCGCGCUCCUCGCCUCUUUCGCGUCGCCGCCAAACGCCCACCAUCCUCGUCUCCCUCCACUCCGGCCCCUUCCUGCGCCUGCCCCCACAUGUUGCCCCUGCCUUCCCGGCCCCAUGUCCUAUCGCGAUAGACCCCCCUUGGUCCCCUCCAUCACCUUCGCCCAUCGCCUCCUCCUCAACGCUCGCGCCUCCUGCAAGGAUCUCUAGGGGCUCAUGGCCAACGUCGAGACACUCGAGACUCCAUCCAGGGCCAUGACAGGUUGUCUUAUCCAUACGCGCGCUACUGCCACGAGGUGGAUGAGGAGCUCAUGCGCAACAUGAUCUAGGUCAACGUCGAGGGUGUAAUGCGGGUCACGCACGCUGUGCUGCCAGACAUGGUCGAGACUCAAAAGGAAGUGCGAUGCCAUUGUCAACAUCGACUUCCGUGCCAUCUCUGACGUGCCUUCCUAUUUGCUCUAUUUUGUCUACGCCGCCACCAAAGCAACAAUACUAAUAAGAGUUUUUCUCGCAUCUAUCUAGCUAAAUGGAUAAGGGUUUGUUCGUUUGAGCUAGAAUUCACCCUAGAAUUGUUCCAGUUGAUCAAACUCUAUAUAAUUUAGACAAAUAAUCUAGCUAGAAAUAGUUACGGGUGACCAUUGCUUCAGAACCGAACAUGCCCUAAAGAUAUAUGUAGGCAUACCAUAAAAUCAAAAAAGCUAUAGACAUUCCAUAACGGCUACGCAUUUUAAGGACAUGAAACACAGGUGCCCAAACAAUAUAGAACAACAAUGCACAAUUUCAUUAUUAUGGAUCCACUUCGCAAGUAAAUUAGAAGAAUCCACGCAUCAUAUUUGGAUAAAAAUUCCUUAAGUUCAUCAUCUGUGCAUAUGUCCCAAAUUUGCAAUAAAGCUAGUAAAGCAAGAUGAUAUAUCGCUUGAAGACUUGUCUCGUCCAUCCUACACCAAACAUACCAUACUAUCAAGGUUUAUACAUGUCGAGCAAGAUUUAAAUAAGAAACAUCGGCUAACUAAUCUUUUUGAAUUUCAAUAUAUCUUAUCAUAACAUGUUCACUCCAUAGCAACGCACAGGUGUUUAUCUAAUAGUAAUAAUAAUCCAAAAAACACUACAAUAUAGAGGGUACUCGAGACGAUGUAUAUUAUUAUUACAUAAGGGAUGUUUGGGAUGGCUCUAAAUUCCAGCUCCAGUGUGGAGUUGUAGUUUAUAAUGUGAAUUUAAAUAGUUUUAAAAACAUUUUAAUAUAAAUAAUAAUAAAAAUUAAUUAUUAUCUAAAUGUCUUAUAAAUGUUUAUAACUUCAGCUCCAUGAUUUUUUUGGAGCACCUAAUGAUCCGCUCCACUAACUCCAUUAAAUUUUCUAAAGCUAGAGCUGUCCCAAACAUGGUCGUAGUAAUAGUGUUGGCUCUGAUUCAGGGCUAGACAUUGAGGGUGUACCGCUUGGUGGUGCCCUCUACGACGACGCGACGGUCCACGACCUCGCUGCAGGAGCGGCUCCUUCCCUGCGUCGGUCCAGAUGGCCUGCGAUGGCACAUGGUUGUCUUCCUCUAGGGUUGGCAGGCCACCCGAGGUGUCUCUAGACGACCUAGAGUCGUCUACAGAUUAAGAAAUCUAGUCGAGGAAAAGUAUCUUGAAUGAACUGGCUCUUGCUCCCUGGAAGGGGUAGGAUCCUAGGGUCGUCUUGGGGUCGACAUGCCACUCAAGACAGAUUUAGACGACGUAGAGUCUAAUAGGGGUUGAGGUGGAUAUGUGGAAAGCUACAACUAGAACUACAGUACAUCAACUUUUAGGGCAGGAAUGAUAAACAAAGUAAUAGAUUGGUUCGAUUGGAAUGUUGAAAGGGAAUUAGGCUUACACCUAGUCCCUAAUUAUUUUUGGUGGUUGAAUUGCCCAACACAAAUUUAUUGGCCUAACUAGUUUGCCCAAGUGUAUAGAUUAUACAGGUAUAAAAGGUUCACUCUCAGCCAAUAAAAAGACCAAGUUUUGGAUUCAACAAAGGAGCAAAGUGGCAACCGAAGGCCCUCUGGUCUGGGAGCACCGGACUGUCCGGUGUACACCGGACAGUGUCCGGUGCACCACCGGACAGUGUCCGGUGCACCAGAGGACUCCAACGCAAACUCGCCACCUUCGGGAAUUUCCAGAGGCGACUCCGCUAUAAUUCACCGGACUGUCCGGUGUACACCGGACAGUGUCCGGUGCGCCAAGUAGGAGCGGCCUCAGGAACUCGCCAGCUUCGGGAAACGCCAACGGCUAGUCCGCUAAAAUUCACCGGACUGUCCGGUGUGCACCGGACUGUCCGGUGCGACUCCGGAGCAACGGCUAUCUCCGCGCCAACGGCUCUCUGCCGCGCAUUAAAUGCGCGCACAGCGCGCGCAGAAGUCAAGCGCGCCCAUACUGGCACACCGGACAAGGAACAGUGCAUGUCCGGUGUGCACCGGACACCCAGGCGGGCCCACAAGUCAGAAGCUCCAACGGUCAGAAUCCAACGGCAGUGAUGACGUGGCAGGGGGCACCGGACUGUCCGGUGUGCACCGGACUGUCCGGUGCGCCAUCGAACAGACAGUCUUCCAACGGCCACAUUUGGUGGUUGGGGCUAUAAAUACCCUAACCACCCCACCAUUCAUGGCAUCCAAGUUUUCCACUUCCCAACUACUACAAGAGCUCUAGCAUUCAAUUCUAGACACACCAAAAGAGAUCAAAUCCUCUCCAAUUCCACAAAAGGCUUUAGCGAUUAGAGAGAGAGAUUUGCCGUGUUACUUUUGGGCUCUUGCGCUUGGAUUGCUUCUUUUCUUUCUCACUUGUUCUUAUGAUCAAAGUUCCAUUGUAAUCAAGGCAAGAGGCACCAAUUGUGUGGUGGCCCUUGCGGGGAAGUUUUGUUCCCGGCUUUGAUUUGAGAAGAGAAGCUCACUCGGUCCGAGGGACCGUUUGAGAGAGGGAAGGGUUGAAAGAGACCCGGCCUUUGUGGCCUCCUCAACGGGGAGUAGGUUUGCGAGAACCGAACCUCGGUAAAACAAAUCCGCGUGUCACACUCUUCAUUUGCUUGAGAUUUGUUUUGCGCCCUCUCUCGCGGACUCAUUUAUAUUUCUAACGCUAACCCGGCUUGUAGUUGUGUCUAUAUUUGUAAAUUUUAGUUUCGCCCUAUUCACCCCCCCUCUAGGCGACUAUCAAUUGGUAUCAAAGCCCGGUGCUUCAUUAGAGCCUAACCGCUCGAAGUGAUGUCGGGAGAUCACGCCAAGAAGGAGAUGGAGACCGGCGAAAAGCCCACUACAAGCAACGGGAGCACUUCAUCGGAAGAGUCCCGCACCAAACGGAGGGAGAAGAAAAAGAGCUCCUCCAACAAAGGGAAGGAGAAGAAAUCUUCUUCUCACCACAAAGAGAAGAAGGAAAAAUCUUCUUCCCACAAGCCGCAUCGGAGUGGGGACAAACAAAAGAGGAUGAGGAAAGUGGUCUACUACGAGACCGACACUUCAUCAACAUCAACCUCCGGCUCCGACGCGCCCUCCGUAACUUCUAAACGCCAAGAGCGUAAGAAGUUUAGUAAGAUCCCCCUACACUACCCUCGCAUUUCUAAACAUGCACCUUUACUUUCCGUCCCAUUAGGCAAACCACCAACUUUUGAUGGUGAAGAUUAUGCUAGGUGGAGUGAUUUAAUGCGAUUUCAUCUAACCUCACUCCACAAAAGUAUAUAGGAUGUUGUUGAGUUUGGUGCACAGGUACCAUCGGUAGGGGACAAAAAUUAUGAUGAGGAUGAGGUGGCCCAAAUCGAGCACUUCAAUUCUCAAGCGACAACGAUACUCCUCGCCUCUUUAAGUAGAGAGGAGUAUAACAAAGUACAAGGGUUGAAAAGCGCCAAGGAGGUUUGGGAUGUGCUCAAAACCGCGCACGAGGGAGAUGAGCUCACCAAGAUCACCAAGAGGGAAACGAUCGAGGGGGAGCUCGGUCGGUUCCGGCUUCGCAAAGGGGAGGAGCCACAACACAUGUACAACCGGCUCAAGACCUUGGUGAACCAAGUGCGCAACCUCGGGAGCAUAAAGUGGGACGACCACGAGGUGGUUAAGGUUAUUCUAAGAUCUCUUAUUUUCCUUAACCCCACUCAAGUUCAAUUAAUUCGUGGUAAUCCUAGAUAUACUAAAAUGACCCCCGAGGAAGUUAUCGGGCACUUUGUAAGUUUUGAGUGCAUGAUCGAAGGCUCGAGAAAGAUCAACGAGCUUGACGAACCCACCACAUCCGAAGCUCAACCCGUCGCAUUCAAGGCAACGGAAGAAAAGAAGGAGGAGGCUACACCAAGUCGACAACCAAUAGACGCCUCCAAGCUCGACAAUGAGGAAAUGGCGCUCGUCAUCAAGAGCUUCCGCCAAAUCCUCAAACAAAGGAGGGGGAAAGACUACAAGUCCCGCUCCAAGAAGGUUUGCUACAAAUGUGGUAAGCCCAGUCAUUUUAUUGCUAAAUGUCCCAUAUCUAGUGACAGUGACCGAGGCGACGACAAGAAGGGGAGAAGAAAGGAGAAGAAGAGGUACUACAAGAAGAAGGGCGGCGAUGCCCAUGUUUGUCGGGAGUGGGAUUCCGACGAAAGCUCAAGCGACUCCUCCGACGACGAGGACGCCGCCAACAUCGCCGUCACCAAGGGACUCCUCUUCCCCAACGUCGGCCACAAGUGCCUCAUGGCAAAGGACGGCAAAAGGAAGAAGGUAAAAUCAAGAUCCUCCACUAAAUAUGAAACCUCUAGUGAUGAAAAUGCUAGUGAUGAGGAGGAUAACUUGCGUACCCUUUUUGCCAAUCUUAACAUGGAACAAAAGGAAAAAUUAAAUGAAUUAAUUAGUGCUAUUCAUGAAAAGGAUGACCUUUUGGAUUCCCAAGAGGAUUGUCUUAUUAAGGAAAACAAGAAACAUGUUAAGGUUAAAAAUGCUUACGCCCUAGAAGUAGAAAAAUGUCAAAAACUAUCUAGUGAGCUAAGCACUUGCCAUGAGAUGAUUGACAACCUUAGACAUGAAAAUGCUAGUUUAAAUGCUAAGGUUGAUUCACAUGUUUGUAAUGUUUCAAUUCCCAAUCCUAGAGAUAAUAAUGAUGAUUUGCUUGCUAGGAUUGAAGAAUUGAACAUUUCUCUUGCUAGCCUUAGAAUUGAGAAUGAAAAAUUGCUUGCUAAGGCUAAAGAUUUUGAUGUUUGCAAUACUACCAUUUCCGACCUUAGAACUAAGAAUGAUAUCUUGCAUGCUAAGGUUGUAGAAUUAAAAUCUUGCAAACCCUCUACAUCUACCAUUGAGCAUGUUUCCAUUUGUACUAGAUGUAGAGAUGUUGAUAUUAAUGCUAUUCAUGAUCACAUGGCUUUAAUUAAACAACAAAAUGAUCAUAUAGCAAUAUUAGAUGCUAAAAUUGCCGAGCAUAACUUAGAGAAUGAAAAAUUUAAAUUUGCUAGAAGUAUGCUCUAUAAUGGGAGACGCCCUGGCAUCAAGGAUGGCAUUGGAUUCCAAAGGGGAGACAAUGUCAAACUUAGUGCCCCUCCAAAAAGAUUGUCCAACUUUGUUAAGGGCAAGGCUCCCAUGCCUCAGGAUAACGAGGGUUACAUUUUAUACCCUGCCGGUUAUCCUGAGAGCAAAAUUAGGAGAAUUCACUCUAGGAAGUCUCACUCUGGCCCAAAUCAUGCUUUUAUGUAUAAGGGUGAGACAUCUAGUUCUAGGCAACCAACCCGUGCUAAGUUGCCUAAGAAGACUCCUAGUGCAUCAAAUGAACAUAGUCUUUCAUUUAAAACCUUUGAUGCAUCUUAUGUGUUAACUAACAAAUCCGGCAAGGUAGUUGCCAAAUAUGUUGGGGGCAAGCACAAGGGGUCAAAGACUUGUGUUUGGGUACCCAAAGUUCUUGUGUCUAAUGCCAAAGGACCCAAAACCAUUUGGGUACCUAAAGUCAAGAACUAAAAUUGUUUUGUAGGUAUAUGCAUCCGGGGGCUCAAGUUGGAUACUCGACAGCGGGUGCACAAACCACAUGACUGGGGAGAAAAAGAUGUUCUCCUCAUAUGAGAAAAACCAAGAUCCCCAACGAGCGAUCACAUUCGGGGAUGGAAAUCAAGGUUUGGUCAAAGGUUUGGGUAAAAUAGCUAUAUCUCCUGACCACUCCAUUUCCAAUGUUUUUCUUGUAGAUUCUUUAGAUUACAACUUGCUUUCUGUUUCCCAAUUAUGUCAAAUGGGCUACAACUGUCUUUUUACUGAUAUUGGUGUCACUGUCUUUAGAAGAAGUGAUGAUUCAAUAGCAUUUAAGGGAGUGUUAGAGGGUCAGCUAUACUUGGUAGAUUUUGAUAGAGCUGAACUCGACACUUGCUUAAUUGCUAAGACUAACAUGGGUUGGCUCUGGCACCGCCGACUAGCCCAUGUUGGGAUGAAGAAUCUUCACAAGCUUCUAAAGGGAGAACACAUUUUAGGAUUAACAAAUGUUCAUUUUGAGAAAGACAGGAUUUGUAGCGCAUGCCAAGCAGGGAAGCAAGUUGGCUCUCAUCAUCCGCAUAAGAACAUAAUGACGACCGACAGGCCACUGGAGAUCCUGCACAUGGAUCUAUUCGGCCCGAUCGCUUACAUAAGCAUCGGCGGGAGUAAGUACUGUCUUGUUAUUGUGGAUGAUUAUUCUCGCUUCACUUGGGUAUUCUUUUUACAGGAAAAAUCUCAAACCCAAGAAACCUUAAAGGGAUUCUUGAGACGGGCUCAAAAUGAGUUCGGCUUAAGGAUCAAGAAAAUAAGAAGCGACAACGGGACGGAGUUCAAGAACUCUCAAAUCGAAGGCUUUCUUGAGGAGGAGGGCAUCAAGCAUGAGUUCUCUUCUCCCUACACGCCACAACAAAAUGGUGUAGUGGAGAGGAAGAAUCGAACUCUAUUGGACAUGGCAAGGACCAUGCUUGAUGAGUACAAGACUUCGGAUCGGUUUUGGGCCGAGGCGGUCAACACCGCCUGCUACGCCAUCAACCGGUUGUAUCUACACCGAAUCCUCAAGAAGACAUCAUAUGAACUCCUAACCGGUAAAAAGCCCAACAUUUCAUAUUUUAGAGUCUUUGGUAGCAAAUGCUUUAUUCUUGUUAAAAGAGGUAGAAAAUCUAAAUUUGCUCCUAAGACUGUAGAAGGCUUUUUACUAGGAUAUGACUCAAACACAAGGGCAUAUAAGGUCUUUAACAAGUCCACUGGACUAGUUGAAGUCUCAUGUGACGUUGUGUUUGAUGAGACUAACGGCUCUCAAGUAGAGCAAGUUGAUCUUGAUGAGAUAGGUGAUGAAGAGGCUCCGUGCAUCGCGCUAAUGAACAUGUCCAUUGGGGAUGUGUGUCCUAAGGAAUCCGAGGAGCCUCCAAAUGCACAAGAUCAACCAUCCUCCUCCAUGCAAGCAUCCCCACCAACUCAAAAUGAAGAUGAGGCUCAAGUUGAUAAAGAAGAAGAUCAAUCAAAUGAGCCACCUCAAGAUGAAGGCAUAGAUCAAGGGGGAGAUGCAAAUAAUCAAGACAAGGAAGAUGAAGAGCAAAGGCCGCCACACCCAAGAGUCCACCAAGCAAUCCAACGAGAUCACCCUGUCGACACCAUCCUCGGCGAUAUUCAUAAGGGGGUAACUACUCGAUCUCGUGUUGCACAUUUUUGUGAACAUUACUCGUUUGUUUCCUCUAUUGAGCCACACAGGGUGGAGGAAGCACUCCAAGAUUCGGAUUGGGUGGUGGCGAUGCAAGAGGAGCUCAACAACUUCACUAGGAAUGAGGUAUGGCAUUUAGUUCCACGUCCUAAUCAAAAUGUUGUAGGAACCAAAUGGGUUUUCCGCAACAAGCAAGAUGAGCAUGGUGUGGUGACAAGGAACAAAGCUCGACUUGUGGCCAAAGGAUACUCCCAAGUCGAAGGUUUGGAUUUCGGUGAAACCUAUGCACCCGUAGCUAGGCUUGAGUCAAUUCGCAUAUUAUUAGCCUAUGCUACUUACCAUGGCUUUAAGCUUUAUCAAAUGGACGUGAAAAGUGCCUUCCUCAAUGGACCAAUCAAGGAAGAGGUCUAUGUUGAGCAACCUCCCGGCUUUGAAGACAGUGAGUAUCCUAACCAUGUCUAUAAGCUCUCUAAGGCGCUUUAUGGGCUCAAGCAAGCCCCAAGAGCAUGGUAUGAAUGCCUUAGAGAUUUUCUUAUUGCAAAUGGAUUCAAAGUCGGAAAGGCCGAUCCUACACUCUUUACUAAAACUCUUGAAAAUGACUUGUUUGUAUGCCAAAUUUAUGUUGAUGAUAUUAUAUUUGGGUCUACUAACGAGUCUACUUGUGAAGAGUUUAGUAGGAUCAUGACUCAGAAAUUCGAGAUGUCUAUGAUGGGGGAGUUGAAGUAUUUCUUAGGAUUCCAAGUAAAACAACUCCAAGAGGGCACCUUCAUUAGCCAAACGAAGUACACUCAAGACAUUCUAAACAAGUUUGGGAUGAAGGAUGCCAAGCCCAUCAAGACACCCAUGGGAACCAAUGGGCAUCUCGACCUCGACACGGGAGGUAAGUCCGUGGAUCAAAAGGUAUACCAGUCGAUGAUAGGUUCUUUACUCUAUUUAUGUGCAUCUCGACCGGAUAUUAUGCUUUCCGUUUGCAUGUGUGCAAGAUUCCAAUCCGACCCUAAGGAAUCCCACCUUAAGGUCGUAAAACGAAUCUUGAGAUAUUUGGCUUAUACUCCUAAGUUUGGGCUUUGGUACCCUCGGGGAUCCACAUUUGAUUUGAUUGGUUAUUCUGAUGCCGAUUGGGCGGGGUGCAAAAUCAAUAGGAAGAGCACAUCGGGGACUUGCCAGUUCUUGGGAAGAUCCUUGGUGUCUUGGGCUUCAAAGAAGCAAAAUUCGGUUGCUCUUUCCACCGCCGAAGCCGAGUACAUUGCCGCAGGCCAUUGUUGCGCGCAAUUGCUUUGGAUGAGGCAAACCCUGCGGGACUACGGUUACAAAUUAACCAAAGUCCCUUUGCUAUGUGAUAAUGAGAGUGCAAUCAAAAUGGCCGACAAUCCCGUCGAGCAUAGCCGCACUAAGCACAUAGCCAUUCGGUAUCAUUUUCUUAGGGAUCACUAACAAAAGGGAGAUAUCGAGAUUUCUUAUAUUCACACUAAAGAUCAAUUAGCCGAUAUCUUUACCAAGCCUCUUGACGAACAAACUUUUACUAAACUUAGGCAUGAGCUCAAUAUUCUUGAUUCGCGCAAUUUCUUUUGCUAGAUUGCACACAUAGCUCAUUUAUAUACCUUUGAUCAUAUCUCUUUUAUAUGCUAUGACUAAUGUGUCUUCAAGUCUAUUUCAAAACCAAGUCAUAGGUAUAUUGAAAGGGAAUUGGAGUCUUCGGCGAAGACAAAGGCUUCCACUCCGUAACUCAUACUUCGCCAUCACUCCAAGCAACUCUCUAAUCUUUGGGGAGAAAUGAGCAUCAAAGAAAAGGACUUCGUCUUUGGGAAAGAGUAAGAGCCCAAAGCUAAAGGACCGGACUUCGUCUUUGGUAUAAUCUUAACUCACUCAUUUAUGACCAAAGAGGAAGAUGGCACUUCGAGGGUUCUAAUGAUUCCGUUUUUUUGGCGAUUUAUGCCAAAAAGGGGGAGAAAUGAGCCCAAAGCAAAAGGACCGCACCACCACCAAAUUUCAAACACUUGAGUGAUGAAUAUUUUCAAUUGGUAUCCUAUUGUGUUCAAAAGGGGGAGAAAGUAGUAUUUCAAAAAAUUAUCAAAACCCUCUUGAACACUAAGAGGAGGAUCUCACUUAGGGGGAGUUUUGUUUAGUCAAAGGAGAAGCAUUUGAAACAGGGGGAGAAAAUUUCAAAUCUUGAAAAUGCUUUGCAAAAUCUUAUUCAUUCACCUUUGACUAUUUGCAAAAGAACUUUGAAAAGGAUUUACAAAAGAGUUUGCAAAAACAAAACUCGUGGUGCAAGCGUGGUCCAAAAUGUUAUAUAAGAAAGAACCAAUCCAUGCAUAUCUUGUAAGUAUUCAUAUUGGCUCAAUUCCAAGCAACCUUUACACUUACAUUAUGCAAACUAGUUCAAUUAUGCACUUCUAUAUUUGCUUUGGUUUGUGUUGGCAUCAAUCACCAAAAAGGGGGAGAUUGAAAGGGAAUUAGGCUUACACCUAGUCCCUAAUUAUUUUUGGUGGUUGAAUUGCCCAACACAAAUUUAUUGGCCUAACUAGUUUGCCCAAGUGUAUAGAUUAUACAGGUAUAAAAGGUUCACUCUCAGCCAAUAAAAAGACCAAGUUUUGGAUUCAACAAAGGAGCAAAGUGGCAACCGAAGGCCCUCUGGUCUGGGAGCACCGGACUGUCCGGUGUACACCGGACAGUGUCCGGUGCACCAGAGGACUCCAACGCAAACUCGCCACCUUCGGGAAUUUCCAGAGGCGACUCCGCUAUAAUUCACCGGACUGUCCGGUGUACACCGGACAGUGUCCGGUGCGCCAAGGAGGAGCGGCCUCAGGAACUCGCCAGCUUCGGGAAACGCCAACGGCUAGUCCGCUAAAAUUCACCGGACUGUCCGGUGUGCACCGGACUGUCCGGUGCGACUCCGGAGCAACGGCUAUCUCCGCGCCAACGGCUCUCUGCCGCGCAUUAAAUGCACGCACAGCGCGCGCAGAAGUCAGGCGCGCCCAUACUGGCACACCGGACAAGGAACAGUGCAUGUCCGGUGUGCACCGGACACCCAGGCGGGCCCACAAGUCAGAAGCUCCAACGGUCAGAAUCCAACGGCAGUGAUGACGUGGCAGGGGGCACCGGACUGUCCGGUGUGCACCGGACUGUCCGGUGCGCCAUCGAACAGACAGCCUUCCAACGGCCACAUUUGGUGGUUGGGGCUAUAAAUACCCCAACCACCCCACCAUUCAUGGCAUCCAAGUUUUCCACUUCCCAACUACUACAAGAGCUCUAGCAUUCAAUUCUAGACACACCAAAAGAGAUCAAAUCCUCUCCAAUUCCACAAAAGGCUUUAGCGAUUAGAGAGAGAGAUUUGCCGUGUUACUUUUGGGCUCUUGCGCUUGGAUUGCUUCUUUUCUUUCUCACUUGUUCUUAUGAUCAAAGUUCCAUUGUAAUCAAGGCAAGAGGCACCAAUUGUGUGGUGGCCCUUGCGGGGAAGUUUUGUUCCCGGCUUUGAUUUGAGAAGAGAAGCUCACUCGGUCCGAGGGACCGUUUGAGAGAGGGAAGGGUUGAAAGAGACCCGGCCUUUGUGGCCUCCUCAACGGGGAGUAGGUUUGCGAGAACCGAACCUCGGUAAAACAAAUCCGCGUGUCACACUCUUCAUUUGCUUGAGAUUUGUUUUGCACCCUCUCUCGCGGACUCAUUUAUAUUUCUAACGCUAACCCGGCUUGUAGUUGUGUCUAUAUUUGUAAAUUUCAGUUUCGCCCUAUUCACCCCCCCCUCUAGGCGACUAUCAAAUGUGUUCGGGGGUUCCCAAUCGACCGUAUCCCUUUAUAUUUAUAGGAGAGGAGGUAUGGACCUGUUCCUAGGUGAGAUCCAAGAUAUUCCCAUGGAUAGGUUAGGAUAACCACGUAUGGGAUAAGUACUCUCAUCCAUGUUAAUCUGGACAUGGGCGUGAAAUAUCCGGACCACAGUGCUGGACCGUUCGGCCGUGGCUAGGUGCCAAAUAUGGUGUUCAACAUAUGCCCCUGCCUUUUGGUGGAGCUUGGUGAACUAAAAUCACCUAGUACUACCAGACUCUUUCGAGAAACAAUAGAUUCUGCAACUUGCCUUGUUCCCAAAAUAGGAACACUAGCCCGUUGUAAGUCAUCGGCUCUUGUGAUCAAAUAAUAUAACUAUUUGAUAGAACUUUAAUGUACAUAGAUCGUUUUGGAUUGCAUCCUAUUUAGUUGUAUCUACCUUAUCAACAUGUCAAUAGGCAAAAACUUGUGGUGCCCCCAGCCCGAAUAAGCAAACGGAUUUGGGCCAGUAAUACCGAUUCAUCGUCGUACCAGCCCCACUUGAGUAGGACAACCCAUCAGCGAUGAAAACACUAGAAAGCACCAUGACAUCCCUAGAGGAGGAUGACCAGACGAUCUUGGUUGCACCACUUUUUGGGCCAUUUUAGUCGGCCUCUGCUUUUGCAUAGACCACAUUUUUUACUUUGUUCGUUUUAUUGGUCGGUCGUGUGGAACGACCUUCUUCUUCAUAUAUUUAGCAUAUAGCUGAUAAAAAGUAGGACCUACUCUGUUGAGUCGAUCAGACGUCUUGGAAGUGUUUUGCUUCCUAGUACCUAUUUUAGGACGCUAUGGUCGGACGGUCUAAGGUUGCUUCUGCUUCUAGUUGUAGGCAGACUGUCUGGCCUUCACAGCUGGACUGUCCACGCUUGACCCGGACUAUCUGGCCUUAGUGCUGGACCCACCCGGACUAUCAUGCUUGCACUCCCAGCGUCUCUGGUCUUUCUUUUGUCUAGAGCCUUUCGAGUAAACACUCCAUGCGAGGGUCACCAAUUGUAACACCCUAGCCACCCCGAGCAUGGCGGUCGUCACUCCUUACAGCUUUAUAGGCUUAGACUCUCCACACAGAUCAACACUAGUCUUUUAUGCGCACUUUGUACUCACUUAUGCACACCCAGGAAGCACUUCUCGAUCGGUCACCCAUCCCAAAUUGCUCCAAGCAAAGCACGCUUAAUAACUUGGUGGUUCUUUGGAGAGGAGCUUCCGGAGAAGAAGGAUCACCUUGUGAGUAUGAGUAUUCUAAUAAUUCUAUUAAGCCAUGGGACAUGUCAUCACAAUCCACCCCCUUAGAAGAUCAAUGUCCUUGUCGAUCAAUCCCAAGUCAGGAUCCUCCCUUCUUGGCCACGUAUGUGCGUCUAGUGUCAGCACAUAUACCAUGUCAUCUGACCACUUUGUGCCCACAUACGCCAUGCACACUAUGUCCACACACCUAGCCUAUACACACUCAUGAAACCGUGAGGGUCAGCUCUGAUACCAAUUGUAACAUGCCAGCCACCACAGUCCUGGCGGUCGUCACUCCUAGCACCUUUAUAGGCUUAGAAUCUCCCCAUAGGCCAACACUAGUCUUUUCCGCACACUUUGUCCUCACUCAUGCGCACCUGGGAAGCAAUCCCCAAAUUUCUUCAAGCAAGGCAUGCUUAACUUGGAGGUUCUUUGAAGAGGAGCUUCCGGAAAGGAAGGAUCACCUUGUUGGUAUAAUUAUUCUAUUAAUUAUAUUAAGCCAUGGGCACGGUCAUCAAACAAUGAUAAUAUUUUUACCUUUGUCUUUAUUGGUCACACAUGGUCGAACCAAGAUUUUUUUGCUCGUCAGCUCUAAUGUGUUGACAGGGAUAGGUGGUAUGUCAAUCUUCAUUUCUUGAAAUCUCAACCGGCCUUUAUUUAUAGUCGAUUGUAUUUGUCGACAAAAAACAUUACAACCAUUGGUGUUUUGAAGAAAUGAGCCAUACCAUUUACAAUAUGCACGCCUUUUCAAUUCUUCUAUCGAGGGAAUUGUAUGCGGCAAUUUAAUGUUACCAUUCUUAAGUAACUUGUCAAAUAUUUUAUCACACUUAGCAACAUUAAAUGUGAACUUAACUUUUCCCUUUUUGACGAGUGUAGAUGAGAGCGAGCAGAAGAUUUGGCCUUAACAGGCCAAACAAGCUCAACGACAUGUAACUUUUUCAGCUUAUCCCCUGAGCUACAAUCGCAGUGAUAUUCAUCCUAGGGCUUAGGUGACCGGCUAUCUUUAUGUUGGCCUUCUGCACUAGGACGGUCACAAGUGGCUUUCGGUAUUUCAGACAGUACGACCUGUGUGGUCGGACGAUCUGUGAAGGGAUCAAACGGUCUGGUAUUAUAUCCGGAGUGUUCAAUUGUGCCGAGCAUCGCCUGCGAGCCUUGUGGUGGGCUCUGUGUGACUCUGGACCGUCUAGCGUAAGGUGUCGGAGGGUCCGAUAGAGGGUCAGAUGGUUUGAGAUCGUGUGUGGACUGCCCGCCCGUGCUCAGAGUCGAUCCACCGUAUAGUGAAGAUGACGACAGCGGUUGCCCCGGAUAUGAGUUCGUCGGCAUUACCAUAAUAUAACUAGGACUGAGAAAACCCAUUUGUCGCUGAUGUGUUUGGCACAAUUGUUUCGGUGUCCAAUUCAUGUGACAAAAAAUUAUGCGUAUGAGAUUUUGCAUGCAUCAUUUUCUAGAUAUCCUUUGUCAUACUUUUAAUCCGAUUAUCAAAAGAAAUUUUAAUAGAUUGAAUAUCAUCGAAUGAUGCGGUGUCACUUAUAGUAGGUAGUUGUUGCAACAAGGCUGGCAUGGAAUUGUUGUUUAUUUCCCUCUCCAGGAGGACCUUCUGGUGGUGAUCUAUCAUGAAGUGCGAGAGGUGCCACUUUUCCAAUCGCGCUUUUGAGCUUGUGUUAACGCUGUAACUCCGUGUCCCACUUCUUCAUGUAGACUUUUAAUUCCUCAUGCUCGGCGACCGAUAAAUUAGACAGCCUUGUGUCGCUAUCUCGAGAAACAUCGUUGAGAUCUUUAGAGAAUCGGCCAUAGAAGCUGAUUUUUGUAGAUUUGCAACCUUCGUCCGCAGCGAAAUCAUCAAAAACUAUGUUGGAUCUGAUUCAGGGCUAGACACUAUGGGUGUACUACCUAGUGGUGCCCUUUGUGGCAGCAUGGACGUCCGCGGCUCUAGGCCAGACGGUCCGCGACCUCGCUGCAGCAGCGGCUCCUUCCCUGCGUCGCUCCAGACAGUCUGCUAUGACGCAUGGUCGUCUUCCUCCUCGUGAGAACCUAGAUCUCGUCCGCUAGGGGAGAGAUCUUAGGAUGCUUCUGAGUCGACAGGCCACCCGGGGCAUCCCAGAUGACGUAGAGUCGCCUAGUGAUUAAAAAAUUGAAAGGGAAUUAGGCUUACACCUAGUUCCUAUAUAAUUUUGGUGGUUGAAUUGCCCAACACAAAUCUUUGGACUAACUAGUUUGCUCUAGUGUAUAUGUUAUACAGGUGCUAAAGGUUCACACUUAGCCAAUAAAAAGACCAAGAGUUGGGUUCAACAAAAGAGCAAAGGGCCAACCGAAGGCACCUCUGGUCUGGCGCACCGGACUGUCCGGUGUGCCACCGGACAGUGUCCGGUGCACCACCGGACAUGUCCGGUGCACCAGAGGACUCCAACGCAAACUCACCACCUUCGGGAAAUUCCAGAAGCACUCGCGCUAUAAUUCACCGGACUGUCCGGUGUACACCGGACAGUGUCCGGUGCACCAAGGAGGAGCGGCCUCAGGAACUCGCCAGCUUCGGGAAUCGCCAACGGCUAGUCCGCUAUAAUUCACCGGACAUGUCCAGUGUGCACCGGACUGUCCGGUGCAACUCCGGAGCAACGGCUAACUCGCGCCAACGGCUACCUGCAGAGCAUUUAAUGGGCGCGCAGCGCGCGCAGAAGUCAGGCAUGCCCAUACUGGCGCACCGGACAGUGAACAGUGCAUGUCCGGUGCGCCACCGGACAUCAAGGCGGGCCCACAAGUCAGAACUCCAACGGUCAGAAUCCAACGGCAGUGAUGACGUGGCGGGGGCACCGGACAUGUCCGGUGCGCCAUCGAACAGAAAGGCUCCCAACGGCCACUUUUGGUGGUUGGGGCUAUAAAUACCCCAACCACCCCAUCAUUCAUUGCAUCCAAGUUUUCCACUUCCCAACUACUACAAGAGCUCUAGCAUUCAAUUCUAGACACACCAAAGAGAUCAAAUCCUCUCCAAAUUCCACACAACGCCCUAGUGACUAGAGAGAGAGAUUUGCUUGUGUUCUUUCGAGCUCUUGCGCUUGGAUUGCUUUCUUCUUUCUUGAUUCCUUCAUUGCGAUCAAACUCACUUGUAAUUGAGGCAAGAGACACCAAACUUGUGGUGGUCCUUGUGGGAACUUUGUGUUCCAAGUGAUUGAGAAGAGAAAGCUCACUCGAUCCAAGGGAUCGUUUGAGAGAGGGAAGGGUUGAAAGAGACCCGGCCUUUGUGGCCUCCUCAACGGGGAGUAGGUUUGCGAGAACCGAACCUCGGUAAAACAAAUCCACGUGUCACACUCUUCAUUUGCUUGCGAUUUGUUUUGCACCCUCUCUCGCGGACUCGUUUCUUUAUUACUAACGCUAACCCGGCUUGUAGUUGUGUUUAUAUUUGUAAAUUUCAGUUUUGCCCUAUUCACCCCCCCUCUAGGCGACUAUCAAUUGGUAUCGGAGCCCGGUGCUUCAUUAGAGCCUAACCGCUCGAAGUGAUGUCGGGAGAUCACGCCAAGAAGGAGAUGGAGACCGGCGAAAAGCCCACUACAAGUCACGGGAGCACUUCAUCGGAAGAGUCCCACACCAAGAGGAGGGAGAAGAAGAAGAGCUCCUCCAACAAAGGGAAGGAGAAGAAAUCUUCUUCUCACCACAAAGAGAAGAAGGAAAAAUCUUCUUCCCACAAGCCGCAUCGGAGUGGGGACAAGCAAAAGAGGAUGAGGAAAGUGGUCUACUACGAGACCGACACUUCAUCAACAUCGACCUCCGGCUCCGAUGCGCCCUCCGUAACUUCUAAACGCCAAGAGCGUAAGAAGUUUAGUAAGAUCCCCUUACACUAUCCUCGCAUUUCUAAACAUGCACCUUUACUUUCCGUCCCAUUAGGCAAACCACCAACUUUUGAUGGUGAAGAUUAUGCUAGGUGGAGUGAUUUAAUGCGAUUUCAUCUAACCUCACUCCACAAAAGUAUAUGGGAUGUUGUUGAGUUUGGUGCACAGGUACCAUCCGUAGGGGAUAAGGAUUAUGAUGAGGAUGAGGUGGCCCAAAUCGAGCACUUCAACUCUCAAGCGACAACGAUACUCCUCGCCUCUUUAAGUAGAGAGGAGUAUAACAAAGUGCAAGGGUUGAAGAGCGCCAAGGAAGUUUGGGAUGUGCUCAAAACCGCGCACGAGGGAGAUGAGCUCACCAAAAUCACCAAGCGGGAAACGAUCGAGGGGGAGCUCGGUCGGUUCCGGCUUCGCAAAGGGGAGGAGCCACAACACAUGUACAACCGGCUCAAGACCUUGGUGAACCAAGUGCGCAACCUCGGGAGCGUAAAGUGGGAUGACCAUGAAGUGGUUAAGGUUAUUCUAAGAUCUCUUAUUUUCCUUAACCCUACUCAAGUUCAAUUAAUUCGUGGUAAUCCUAGAUAUACUAAAAUGACCCCCGAGGAAGUAAUCGGGCAUUUUGUAAGUUUUGAGUGCAUGAUCGAAGGCUCGAGGAAGAUCAACGAGCUCGAUGAUCCAUCCACAUCCGAGGCUCAACCCGUCGCAUUCAAGGCGACGGAAGAAAAGAAGGAGGAGUCUACUCCAAGUCGACAACCAAUAGACGCCUCCAAGCUCGACAAUGAGGAAAUGGCGCUCGUCAUCAAGAGCUUCCGCCAAAUCCUCAAGCAAAGGAGAGGGAAGGACUACAAGUCCCGCUCUAAGAAGGUUUGCUACAAGUGUGGUAAGCCCGGUCAUUUUAUUGCUAAAUGUCCUAUAUCUAGUGACAGUGACCGAGGCGACGACAAGAAGGGAAGAAGAAAAGAGAAGAAGAGGUACUACAAGAAGAAGGGCGGCGAUGCCCAUGUUUGUCGGGAGUGGGACUCCGACGAAAGCUCUAGCGACUCCUCCGACGACGAGGACGCCGCCAACAUCGCCGUCACCAAGGGACUCCUCUUCCCCAACGUCAGCCACAAAUGCCUCAUGGCAAAGGACGGCAAAAAGAAGAAGGUUAAAUCUAACUCCUCCACUAAAUAUGAAUCUUCUAGUGAUGAUAAUGCUAGUGAUGAGGAGGAUAAUUUACGUACCCUUUUUGCCAACCUCAACAUGCAACAAAAGGAGAAACUUAAUGAAUUGAUUAGUGCUAUUCAUGAAAAGGAUGACCUUUUGGAUACUCAAGAGGACUUCCUUAUUAAAGAAAAUAAGAAGCAUGUUAAGGUUAAAAAUGCUUAUGCUCUAGAAAUUGAAAAAUGUGAAAAAUUAUCUAGUGAGCUAAGCACUUGCCAUGAAACAAUAGACAACCUUAGAAAUGAAAAUGCUAAUUUGAUAGCUAAGGUUGAUUCUCAUGUUUGCAAUGUUUCAAUUUCCAACCCUAGAGAUAAUAAUGAUGAUUUGCUUGCUAGGAUUGAAGAAUUAAACAUUUCUCUUGCUAGCCUUAGAAUUGAGAAUGAAAAAUUGCUUGCUAAGGGUAAAGAUUUUGAUGUUUGCAAUACUACCAUUUCCGACCUUAGAACUAAGAAUGAUAUCUUGCAUGCUAAGGUUGUAGAAUUAAAAUCUUGCAAACCCUCUACAUCUACCAUUGAGCACGUUUCCAUUUGUACUAGAUGUAGAGAUGUUAACAUUGAUGCUAUUCAUGAUCGUAUGGCUUUAAUUAAACAACAAAAUAAUCAUAUAGCUAAAUUAGAUGCUAAAAUUGUCGAGCAUAACUUAGAAAGUGAAAAAUUUAAAUUUGCUAGAAGUAUGCUCUAUAAUGGGAGACGCCCUGGCAUCAAGGAUGGCAUUGGCUUCCAAAGGGGAGACAAUGUCAAACUUAGUGCCCCUCCUAAAAGAUUGUCUAAUUUUGUUAAGGGCAAGGCUCCCAUGCCUCAGGAUAACGAGGGUUACAUUUUGUACCCUGCCGGUUAUCCCGAGGACAAAAUUAGGAAAAUUCAUUCUAGGAAGUCUCACUCUGGCCCUAAUCAUGCUUUCAUGUAUAAGGGUGAGACAUCUAGCUCUAGGCAACCAACCCGUGCUAAGUUGCCUAGAAAGAAAAUUCCUACUGCAUCAAAUGAACAUAGUCUCUCAUUUAAAACUUUUGAUGCAUCUUAUGUGUUGACUAACAAAUCCGGCAAAGUAGUUGCCAAAUAUGUUGGGGGCAAGCACAAGGGGUCAAAGACUUGUGUUUGGGUACCCAAAGUUCUUGUGUCUAAUGCCAAAGGACCCAAAACCAUUUGGGUACCUAAAGUCAAGAACUAAACUUGUUUUGUAGGUUUAUGCAUCCGGGGGCUCAAGUUGGAUCAUCGACAGCGGGUGCACAAACCACAUGACAGGGGAGAAAAGGAUGUUCUCCUCCUACGAGAAAAACCAAGAUCCCCAACGAGCGAUCACAUUCGGGGAUGGAAAUCAAGGUUUGGUCAAAGGUCUUGGUAAAAUCGCUAUAUCUCCUGACCAUUCUAUUUCCAAUGUUUUUCUUGUAGAUUCUUUAGAUUACAAUUUGCUUUCCGUAUCUCAAUUAUGUCAAAUGGGCUACAACUGUCUUUUCACUGAUGUAGGUGUCACUGUCUUUAGAAGAAGUGAUGAUUCAAUAGCAUUUAAGGGUGUGUUAGAGGGUCAGCUAUACUUAGUAGAUUUUGAUAGAGCUGAACUCGACACAUGCUUAAUUGCUAAGACUAACAUGGGUUGGCUCUGGCACCGCCGACUAGCCCAUGUUGGGAUGAAGAAUCUUCACAAUCUUCUAAAGGGAGAACACAUUUUAGGAUUAACAAAUGUUCAUUUUGAGAAAGACAGGAUUUGUAGCGCAUUCCAAGCAGGGAAGCAAGUUGGCACUCAUCAUCCGCAUAAAAACAUAAUGACGACCGACAGGCCACUGGAGCUCCUACACAUGGAUCUAUUCGGCCCGAUCGCUUACAUAAGCAUCGGCGGGAGUAAGUACUGUCUAGUUAUUGUGGAUGAUUAUUCUCGCUUCACUUGGGUAUUCUUUUUACAAGAAAAAUCUCAAACCCAAGAGACCUUAAAGGGAUUCUUGAGACGGGCUCAGAAUGAGUUCGGCUUAAGGAUCAAGAAAAUAAGAAGCGACAACGGGACGGAGUUCAAGAAUUCUCAAAUUGAAGGCUUCCUUGAGGAGGAGGGCAUCAAGCAUGAGUUCUCUUCUCCCUACACGCCUCAACAAAAUGGUGUAGUGGAGAGGAAGAAUAGAACUCUAUUGGACAUGGCAAGGACCAUGCUUGAUGAGUACAAAACCUCGGAUCGGUUUUGGGCCGAGGCGGUCAACACCGCCUGCUACGCCAUCAACCGGUUGUAUCUACACCGAAUCCUCAAGAAGACAUCAUAUGAACUCCUCACCGGUAAAAAGCCCAAUAUUUCAUAUUUUAGAGUUUUUGGUAGCAAAUGCUUUAUUCUUGUUAAAAGAGGUAGAAAAUCUAAAUUUGCUCCUAAAACGGUAGAAGGCUUUUUACUUGGUUAUGACUCAAACACAAGGGCAUAUAGGGUCUUUAACAAGUCCACUGGACUAGUUGAAGUCUCAUGUGACGUUGUGUUUGAUGAAACUAACGGCUCUCAAGUAGAGCAAGUUGAUCUUGAUGAGAUAGGUGAUGAAGAGGCUCCGUGCAUCGCGCUAAGGAACAUGUCCAUUGGGGAUGUGUGUCCUAAGGAAUCCGAAGAGCCUCCAAAUGCACAAGAUCAACCAUCCUCCUCCAUGCAAGCAUCUCCACCAACUCAAAAUGAGGAAGAGGCUCAAGUUGAUGAAGAAGAAGAUCAAUCAAAUGAGCUACCUCAAGAUGACGGCAUAGAUCAAGGGGGAGAUGCAAAUAAUCAAGGCAAGGAGGAUGAAGAGCAAAGACCGCCACACCCAAGAGUCCACCAAGCAAUCCAACGAGAUCACCCCGUCGACACCAUCCUCGGCGAUAUUCAUAAGGGGGUAACUACUAGAUCUCGGGUUGCACAUUUUUGUGAACAUUACUCGUUUGUUUCCUCUAUUGAGCCACACAAGGUAGAGGAAGCACUUCAAGAUUCGGAUUGGGUGGUGGCGAUGCAAGAGGAGCUCAACAACUUCACUAGGAAUGAGGUAUGGCAUUUAGUUCCACGUCCUAAUCAAAAUGUUGUAGGAACCAAAUGGGUCUUCCGCAACAAGCAAGAUGAGCAUGGUGUGGUGACAAGGAACAAAGCUCGACUUGUGGCCAAAGGAUACUCCCAAGUCGAAGGUUUGGAUUUCGGUGAAACCUAUGCACCCGUAGCUAGGCUUGAGUCAAUUCGUAUAUUAUUAGCCUAUGCUACUUACCAUGGCUUUAAGCUUUAUCAAAUGGACGUGAAAAGUGCCUUCCUCAAUGGACCAAUCAAGGAAGAGGUCUAUGUUGAGCAACCUCCCGGCUUUGAAGACAGUGAGUAUCCUAACCAUGUCUAUAAGCUCUCUAAGGCGCUUUAUGGGCUCAAGCAAGCCCCAAGAGCAUGGUAUGAAUGCCUUAGAGAUUUCCUUACUGCUAAUGGCUUCAAAGUCGGUAAGGCCGAUCCUACACUCUUUACUAAAACUCUUGAAAAUGACUUAUUUGUAUGCCAAAUUUAUGUUGAUGAUAUUAUAUUUGGAUCUACUAACGAGUCUACAUGUGAAGAGUUUAGUAUGAUUAUGACACAAAAGUUCGAGAUGUCUAUGAUGGGGGAGUUGAAGUAUUUUCUAGGAUUCCAAGUCAAGCAACUCCAAGAGGGCACCUUCCUAAGCCAAACAAAGUACACUCAAGAUAUUCUAAACAAGUUUGGGAUGAAGGAUGCCAAACCCAUCAAGACACCCAUGGGAAUAAAUGGGCAUCUCGACCUCGACACGGGAGGUAAGUUCGUGGAUCAAAAGGUAUACCGGUCGGUGAUAGGUUCUUUACUCUAUUUAUGUGCAUCACGACCGGAUAUUAUGCUUUCCGUAUGCAUGUGUGCAAGAUUCCAAGCCGACCCUAAGGAAGCUCACCUUACGGCCGUGAAACGAAUCUUGAGAUAUUUGGCUUAUACUCCUAAGUUUGGGCUUUGGUAUCCUAGGGGAUCCACUUUUGAUUUGAUUGGUUAUUCGGAUGCCGAUUGGGCGGGGUGUAAAAUCAAUAGGAAGAGCACAUCGGGGACUUGCCAGUUCUUGGGAAGAUCCUUGGUGUCUUGGGCUUCAAAGAAGCAAAAUUCGGUCGCUCUUUCCACCGCCGAAGCCGAGUACAUUGCCGCAGGUCAUUGUUGCGCGCAAUUGCUUUGGAUGAGGCAAACCCUGCGGGACUACGGUUACAAAUUAACCAAAGUCCCUUUGCUAUGUGAUAAUGAGAGUGCAAUCAAGAUGGCAGAUAAUCCCGUCGAGCAUAGCCGCACUAAACACAUAGCCAUUCGGUAUCACUUUUUAAGGGAUCACCAACAAAAGGGAGAUAUCGAGAUUUCUUACAUUAACACUAAAGAUCAAUUAGCCGAUACCUUUACCAAGCCUCUUGAUGAACAAACUUUUACCAAACUUAGGCAUGAGCUCAAUAUUCUUGAUUCUAGGAACUUCUUUUGUUAAAAAUUGCACACAUUGCUCUUCUAUAUACCUUUGAUCAUAUCUCUUUCAUAUGCUAUGACUAAUGUGUUUUUCAAGUCUAUUUCAAACCAAGUCAUAGGUAUAUUGAAAGGGAAUUGGAGUCUUCGGCGAAGACAAAGGCUUCCACUCCGUAACUCAUCCUUCACCGUCGCUCCAAGAGAUUCUCCAUUCUUGGGGGAGAAAAGCAUGAGCAUCAAAGAAAAGGACUUUGUCUUUGGGGGAGAGAGUAAGAGCCCAAGGCAAAAGGACCGGACUUCAUCUUUGGUAUAAUCUUAACUCAUUCAUUUAUGACCAAAGGGGAAGAAAGCACUUCAGAGGGCUCUAAUGAUUCCGUUUUUGGCGAUUCAUGCCAAAGGGGGAGAAAGUAAGAGCCCAAAACAAAAGGACCGCACCACCACCAAUUUCAAAAACUUAGUGUUGAAUAUUUUCAAUUAGUAUCCUAUUGUGUUCAAAAGGGGGAGAAAGUAGUAUUUCAAAAAUGAUAUAUCAAAACCCUCUUGAACACUAAGAGGAGGAUUUCAUUUAAGGGGGAGUUUUGUUUAGUCAAAGGAAAAGCAUUUGAAACAGGGGGAGAAAAUUUCAAAUCUUGAAAAUGCUUCUCAUAAUCUUAUUCAUUUACCUUUGACUAUUUGCAAAAGAACUUUGAAAAGGAUUUACAAAAGAGUUUGCAAAAACAAAACAUAUGGUGCAAGCGUGGUCCAAAAUAUUAUAAGUAAGAAACAAUCCAUACAUAUCUUGUAAGUAGUUAUAUUGGCUCAAUUCCAAGCAACCUUUGCACUUAUAUUAUGCAAACUAGUUCAAUUAUGCACUUCUAUAUUUGCUUUGGUUUGUGUUGGCAUCAAUCACCAAAAAGGGGGAGAUUGAAAGGGAAUUAGGCUUACACCUAGUUCCUAUAUAAUUUUGGUGGUUGAAUUGCCCAACACAAAUCUUUGGACUAACUAGUUUGCUCUAGUGUAUAUGUUAUACAGGUGCUAAAGGUUCACACUUAGCCAAUAAAAAGACCAAGAGUUGGGUUCAACAAAAGAGCAAAGGGCCAACCGAAGGCACCUCUGGUCUGGCGCACCGGACUGUCCGGUGUGCCACCGGACAGUGUCCGGUGCACCACCGGACAUGUCUGGUGCACCAGAGGACUCCAACGCAAACUCGCCACCUUCGGGAAAUUCCAGAAGCACUCGCGCUAUAAUUCACCGGACUGUCCGGUGUACACCGGACAGUGUCCGAUGCACCAAGGAGGAGCGGCCUCAGGAACUCGCCAGCUUCGGGAAUCGCCAACGGCUAGUCCGCUAUAAUUCACCGGACAUGUCCGGUGUGCACCGGACUGUCCGGUGCAACUCCGGAGCAACGGCUAACUCGCGCCAACGGCUACCUGCAGAGCAUUUAAUGGGCGCGCAGCGCGCGCAGAAGUCAGGCAUGCCCAUACUGGCGCACCGGACAGUGAACAGUGCAUGUCCGGUGCGCCACCGGACAUCAAGGCGGGCCCACAAGUCAGAACUCCAACGGUCAGAAUCCAACGGCAGUGAUGACGUGGCGGGGGCACCGGACUGUCCGGUGCGCCAUCGAACAGAAAGGCUCCCAACGACCACUUUUGGUGGUUGGGGCUAUAAAUACCCCAACCACCCCAUCAUUCAUUGCAUCCAAGUUUUCCACUUCCCAACUACUACAAGAGCUCUAGCAUUCAAUUCUAGACACACCAAAGAGAUCAAAUCCUCUCCAAAUUCCACACAACGCCCUAGUGACUAGAGAGAGAGAUUUGCUUGUGUUCUUUCGAGCUCUUGCGCUUGGAUUGCUUUCUUCUUUCUUGAUUCCUUCAUUGCGAUCAAACACACUUGUAAUUGAGGCAAGAGACACCAAACUUGUGGUGGUCCUUGUGGGAACUUUGUGUUCCAAGUGAUUGAGAAGAGAAAGCUCACUCGAUCCGAGGGAUCGUUUGAGAGAGGGAAGGGUUGAAAGAGACCCGGCCUUUGUGGCCUCCUCAACUGGGAGUAGGUUUGCGAGAACCGAACCUCGGUAAAACAAAUCCACGUGUCACACUCUUCAUUUGCUUGCGAUUUGUUUUGCACCCUCUCUCGCGAACUCGUUUCUUUAUUACUAACGCUAACCCGGCUUGUAGUUGUGUUUAUAUUUGUAAAUUUCAGUUUCGCCCUAUUCACCCCCCUCUAGGCGACUAUCAAAAAUCCAGUCAAGGAAGAGUAUCUUGAAUAAAGUGGAUCUUGCUCCCCGGGAGUGGUAGAAUGCUAUGGUCGUCUUGGGGUCGGCAAGCCACCCAAGACGGAUCUAGACGACGUUAAGUCGAAUAGAGGUGGAGGUGGAUAUGUGGAAAGCUAUAAUUAGAACUAUGUUGCAUCUACUUUUAGGAUAGACAUGAUAAAGAAAGUAAUAGACGAAUCUAGACGACGUUAAGUCGAAUAGAGGUGGAGGUGGAUAUGUGGAAAACUACAAUUAGAACUAUGUUGCAUCUACUUUUAGGACAGGCAUGAUAAAGAAAGUAAUAGAUUGGUUCGAUUAGAAUAUAUUCGGGGUUCCCAAUCAGUCAUAUCCUUUUAUAUUUAUAGGAGAGGAGGUCUAGACCUGUUUCUAGGCGAGAUCUAAUAGAUUUUCAUGGAUAUGUUAGGAUAACCACGUAUGAGAUAAGUAGUCUCGCCCGUUUAAUAUGGUCGUGAGGGUGCGAACCGGACCGGACCACAUGGUCGGACCGUCCGGCCGUGGCUAGGUGCCAAAUAUAGCACUCAACAAAUAUUAAUAGUUAUUUAAUAAAUUAGUGUAGGGUUUUAUCCUACAUUUGUAUAUUGAUCAAAACAAAAAAAAGUAUACACACUAAUAAUAAGGGUAACUGAAAUGUUUUACACGUGUUGCAUCCAUAGUUUUAUACUCUCUACUAUCACAUGCUUCAAUCUAUGGCAGGUAAGUAGAGAUGUCCAAACGGGCCGCCCGGCCCGGUCCGGCCCAGGCCCGGUGAAGCCCGGCCCGUUUUGGGCCCGGCCCGCCAGGCACGAUUAAAAAACUGGGCCGGGCCGGCUAAGCACGCGGGCUCAAUUUCUUGUCCGAGCCCGGCCCGCAACGGGCUUAAACAGGCCGGGCCGGCCCGUUUAGCACGAAAAAAACGGGCCGAAAAGCGGGCUAUGCGGGCCGAAAAGCACGUUUUAGUGUAAAAAAGCGGGCUUAACGGGCUUAGAGCUAAACGGGCCGUGCCGGGCUAGCCCACCGUGCCUAAUUUCCUGUCCGAGCCCGGCUCGCUUAUUCGUGCCGGGCCGGCCGGGCCCGCCUAUAACCGGGUCGUGCCGGGCUCGGACCGGACCCAAAAAGCGGGCUUCGUGCCGGGCUCGCGGGCCUCGUGCUUAUUGGACAUCUAUACAGGUAAGUGUCAUUUCUUUCAGAAGCAUGUCCCUGCAAGCUGUUACCGUGGGAGGAGACUUGUCGAAGAUCUAGCUAUUUCGAUAUUUCCAAAUAGAUCAAGACAUGAGUAUCAUGGCUUCCAUUCUCCACGGUUUUAUAAACUGAAGUCGAACUCUCUGUAUCGCCAGCGGUACAUUAGAGGUGUUUGGAACUGUAAUUCCAAACAGUUGCUAACAUCUUCGAACAAAGUUACACUUUAAGAAGAGAUGGGCAGUUUUCUUCCCAUUGUUAUAUGCAAUUUUAACAAAUAUUAAUAGUAAUAAUAAAGUUUUUGUAAUAAUAAUAAUCCAAUGCAAGAAGCGGCGCGACCACUAGGUAGGCCGGCCGAAUCUUAGCAAUUCGAUCUACUGCGUCGCGUCUAAGCAGAAAUUCGAAAACGCAAUAAUGCAGAAGGAAAAUAGGCAGCAUCUACUUUUGUUUUUGUUAAAAAAAUAUAAGGAAAAAAUGAACGGACAAUAUAUGAGAAAGGUGCUUGAUCGGAUCGGAGGCAGCGAUUUUCGAAUAUGGAAUUGCGUUGUUUUUUUCGACGGUUCGAGUAAACCGUCCGGAAUCGUUUUUUAUCCAACUGUGUCGCUAAACGUACCUUGUGGAUGCUUCUGCUAAUUAAUUCCUUGUCAUCAUUAUCAUCAGCAGUGGAUAAUUGCGUUGCGUUGCGCCGGAGAAAAGAGCCUAAACAUUCGAGCCGCCCGGCCCAUGCCCAAAAAAAACCUAUCCUAUUUGAAUUUAGGUCAUACCGGGCCGACCCACGGCCUGACACGUAAUUGAUUGAAUGGCCGUACUUAUUUCGGACGGCUCAAAAUUAUAAAAGUCUGAAAUUCAAUUUUUAGACCAAAAUUCACAUCAGGGCCCGAAAUUUAGUUUUUUGUCCGAAAUUCACAUUAAAGCCCGAAAUUCACAUAACCCUAAAUUCAACACAAAUUUAUAAAACAAAUAAAUUUGACCAAAAGCAAACUUAAUAUUUGUAUUAAGUUACCAGAGCUAUGUAAUGACUACCUCGUUUACAAAUCAUUUCGUUAGAAGGAAAAAAAGUAUAAUCAGCUCUAUACAAAGUUUGCAAGUUCAAUUCAUUAUCUAAUGUUUAUAACAAAAGUAAAAUUACAUCACCUACUCUAAUUCAAAGCUACAAAAAACAUCUAACUAGUAUUAUCUUUAGCUUUGUGUUCUUUAUCAAGUACAUGAAAGUGUGAUUUUAAUAAGUAUAUGGGCCUUUUCGUGCCUCUGUAUAGGCCAUUUCGUGUCUGCCUUAAAUGAGCCAUGCUUAUGCCCGUCCAUAGGCCGCGACCUUGCCCAAACCCGGCCUGAUAUUUCGGAUCGUGCCGGCCCUGCACUAAAAUAUUUUGGGUCGUGCCUGAGUCGUGUUUUUUUCGUGCUUCUAUCAGGUCCGGCCCAAAUGUACACCUAUAAAAGCCACAAACUCAGUUUGGAGAUCAAAUUAAACACAUAUCUAACUAGGGACUCAUAAAUGUUAAAAAUCCUAUGAAAAAACACAUGGGCUAAUCUAAACGUAUGUGCAUGAGAAGAGAAAUCUAGGCCUCAGAAUGGGCCAUAUAAACUCAUGAGCAGAAAGGGGCUCCAAACUCACGGGCUAACAAAUUUGAGCUUUUUUGGGUUCUCCACUGAUCAGGGCAAAGUUGAAUUAAGACAUUCCACUAAAGGGUCGACACAGAUCGAUCAUCAAACAUAGUCCAGAUGUGCUAGUGGAUCGAACGAAAGGGCAUAAGCCUGUGGAUCAUGUCAGGGGCGGAGCCACGUUGGUCCAAGUGUUGUCCAUGGACAGCAAUGCUUUUAAUAGAAGUCCAUAAUAUUUGUUAGUAUUCACUAUAGAUGACAGCAGCCUGUAGUGUAGUUGGACAUCAAUCCGGCCUCUGAUUUGUUUGUUUAAGUAAUGUUAUAUGAGAGGUAAAUACUUGACUUUGUUUAAAUAAUGUUAUUUUGACUUAAUGUUACAUUAUAUGGUAGUACAUAUUGAAUUGAAAUUGAAACAUUUUUUACACAUUAAUUGCACCGUGACAUCAUUAGUAAAAAAUUCUACAUCCACCCCUGGAUCAUGUGAAAGGGCAACGUCUCAAUCUCUCAGGCGUUGUUCGCAGGGAUGCGGCACGAUACCUGUAGGCGGCCCCGUGGAGAUGUUUUCCCUGCCGUGGAGGUCGUCCUCGUGACCCAGCAGCCGCCAGCUUGACCCAAAACUCUGCUACAACGUCAUCCAAUGGGUGUGGUUCUUUCUCCUCACUCUGCCGUGUUCGAUCCAUUAUGAGUUUGGAUCUACUUCUCCUUUUUUUAUUGGUUUCUUCCCACCCUUCUUCCUUGUUGCUUUCUCGGUAACGAAUGAUGACUGCUGAGAACUUCAAUCAGAAAGAACAAGUAUAAAGUUUGUAUGUAUGACUGACCUAGAUAAGUUCUCAUAUGUUCCCUGUAAUCUCUAUGGUUCAUAGCUUUCUUAACAUUUUCUAGAGGAAAGCUUCAGUUUGUUUUCUGGUUUUAGAGCUUCCAGUUUUUUGGUAAUUCUAGUCUAUUGUUUAUUAUCAGCUGUCAAUGUCCUGGAGACUGGAGUUGGAUUACCGAUUUGUUUAUAUAUCGAUCGUUGUCCAUACUUCCCUUCUAUAUGUUCGGGUGGAGUUAAUUAGUAUCAUAUAAACUCUGGUCACCAUUCUGAUUAAUUGGUGUAUGUUAGUUACAAUCACACCACUUUGUCUUUGAUCACUAUUAUUAAUGAUUGUAGUUGCACUUGUCCUCCAUUUAAGCAGCUACUGCCAUCACCUGCUCUCCUCUCGGUGCUACUUUAAUUACUGUUUGAGUCUAUUUUAGAUUAAUUUUAGUUUGAAUGUUGACUGCUCUCGGUGCUAAUUUCAUUACUGUUUGAGUCUGCUCGAUGUAAGAUAAUUAACCAGACUCUAUUUCAAUUGUAUGCUCCGAGCUUAGAGUUUAUGACACACAAGAGCUUACAAAUGCAGAAAGUAUAGUGCCUUUGCAGACCAGUUUUUGCCUUUUGUUGUUCAGUGUAGGUUGUUUUUGGUCCCCUACCUGAGAUAUUACUGUAGAUUGUUUUCCUAAUUUGGUUGAAAUUAACUUAGUAUAAGGACAUAUCAUCAUGUGCCAAAUUAACUGAUCGUAAAUAUUAUAAAAAAAAUGUAUCACUAAAUAACUGAUCUUAAAUAUAUGGAUAGCUGAUCGCCAUGUUCUAGAGUUAGAUACUGCUAUAAGCGUGUUGUUGUUGUGUGUGUAUAUAUAAAUAAUAACUGGUACAAUUUCAAUAGGUGAUUUUGCAGCCUAGGCCAUGGAGGGGGUUUAAUUUCAUCGGCUCUAGAAAUAGACGAGGCUAUCUCAACUGGCCAAUCAAGCAAAUCAACAAAAAGAAGGGCUAAAGUGUGGGAUUCAGAAAGAAGGGCUAUCAUGUUGAUUCAGAGCUAGUAGAUGGGAAAGAGAAGGCGAUUUGCAAAUAGUGUAAGGUCCACUUAUCUUAUGCUACGGGUAAAGGUACAACUCAUAUGAAUAGGCACAUUUCUGUGUAUUGCCAUGCAAUGCCACCAGAAGAGAUACAAAGGUUCUUAGCGACCCAAAAAGCAAAGCCCGAUGUUGCUCAUGUUUUCAACCCUGUAGUCUAUCGUGGUCUAAUAAAAUAAGGAAAUUCCAUUUCUCUGUUGGCGCUGUUACGAGAACGAAAAAAAAUGAAAAAUGAAUCUUCUGUAUCGUUCUCGUGCCUUCAUAUUGAUGACAAUAGGGUUCAGGGUCCAGAACUGCCUCCAUUCUAAGUCAAACCACAACAUGUACAAUGUUAGGUUGCAUAGGUGUUAUAUGGACUUAAACAAUCUUGGGGAAUAUGGUAUAAUUGGCUCAGUGAAUUUCUUGUGAAGAAGGGAUAUAUAAAUAAUUCAGAUUCUUCUCACGGGUUUAUUAGAAAAUCUCAUAAGGGUUUCUAUACCAUUUUGGUCUAUGUUGAUGACAUAAAUAUCACAUGAUACGUGGAGGAUAUUGAGGAGACUAGUGUCCAUCUCAAGGCAAAGUUUGAAAUGAAAGAUUUGGAUGAAACUAAGUUUUGCUUGGGCCUAUAGGUUGAGCAUUUCCUUAAAGAAAUAUUUGCACACCAAUCAAACUAUAAUAAGAAAGUCCUCGAGAGAUUUAACAUGACCAAAACUUACCAUUUGAAGACCCUAGUGGUUGCAAUAUCCCUUAAAAGUACUAAUGUAUCAUGCAAAUUGCUAGCUAGACACAACGUAAAAUCCAAGCAAAAACAUUGGACAUGCACUAAGACUAUACAAAAAUACCUUAAAGGCACUCAAAAUCUUGGACUGUUUUCCGAACAAUUAGGACUAAACUUUGGUGGACUAUACAAAUGUUGGUUAUCUAUUAUAUUCCCAUUAUGCUAGAUCUUAGAAUGGCUUUGUGUUUCUUUGUGGUGGUACAGUCGUAUCCUAGAAAUCGAGCAAAUAUACACUAGUAGCUACGUCUACUAAUCACUCAUAGACAAUCACAUUAUAUAAAGCCACAUGAGAAUGUACUUUAGCUAUGACAUAUGACUAACACAUCCAAAAGUCAUAUGGCUUUGAUACCACAAACACCCCAUAUUUAUCUUUGAAGAUAAUGUGAUAUGUGUUGCAUAAAUAGAAAUAACCUAUAUUAAGAGUAAUAUGACUAAGCAUAUUUCUCCCAAACUUUUCUAUCCUCACAAACUCUAAAAUGAGAGUGAGGUGAAAAUUAUACAAUUCAAGUAUUUUGAUAAUCUGGCUGAUUUAUUUAGUAAAUUAUUUUCUAUAAUCACAUUCAAAAGAUAUGUUUAAGGUAUAAAAAAUAAGGCGUGUAAGAGUCAUGUAGGGUUCAAGGGAGGACACUGAAAUGUUAUCCCUUACUAUUGGGUCCAAAAGGUCAUAAGCUAUGCAAGCCUGAAGGCAGUAGUUGUUCUUAAGACAAUCAUUGUACUUCUUUUUUCUUUGUAAGUUUUCUUGAAAUUUCUCACUUAUUGUUUCUAACGAGGCAAUGAGUACAAUACAUGGACUGCCACUAUGGACUCUUCACCUUUUCUAAUGGUGUUUUUUGGAGUUUUAACGAAGCAUGAAUUACUCACGGUAUUCUCCUAAGAGAGAGUGUUAAGAACCCUACGAAGGGUUAUAUGAUAUAAUACCAAAUGUAUCCCUAGAGGACUCUACCUUUCUAUAUAAUAAACAUGUACCCUCAAAAAUAUAACAAGAUAAGAGAUCCUUCACUAUUGUCUCAUGUAUCACUUUGUUUAUGUCGCAGUGGAAAGAGAAACGAGAAACAAAUCUUCUAUAUCUUCAUCACACCUCUAUUACUGAAGGAAAAGUUAUGUGUCCAGAUCUAGGAGCUAUGAUCAUAAACUUAACUUCUCGUCAUUGUGUGAGCAUCAACGCUGAAAUUACAACUCUCAAGGAUAGUCUUUGCCAAGAUAUAAUUCUCCAAAGUCAUCUUUAUAUCCUUGAUGCAUGAUCACCUAUCCAUAAAGCCCCAUCCAAGUUUUUUUAUGAAAUAGGAGGGGUCUUGUCCCUAGCUUCAUGUAUAUUUCUGACAAAAUUGGUAUGGUCAUUUGAAACUCUUGAUGUGCACAUGAGAGGCUAGCGACAAGUCUUUUGAGCAUGCCAUAAACAAAGGUGGAAAGAAGGAAAGGGAUGGACGGACACGGGAAUACCAGCGUCAGAAGGUCCGUUGGGGUUCAAGUCGUCACACUUUGAAAGGGAAAUGUGCCCUUAGUCUAUUUCUAGUUGUUUUGGUGAUUAAAUGUUCAACACAACACAUUGGACUAACCACUUUGAUAUGAGAAUGAGUACAGGUGCAUAAAGGGCAAGUUGAAGAUAUCAAGUCCAUACGAGCUGAAUCGAAGGGCCAAAAGUGCAACUUGGAGCAAACCAACAUAAACAUGAGGUUUAAGUGUUUGAAUAAGUUGCACACACCCUACUCCAUGUUUCUAGCACUUUGUUUUGACCACUAACUCUAUUUUGCAAGAAAAGUGCAUUUUGAAUUUGGUCUUGGACAUAUUGCAAACUCUAUGAAAUGGAGAUGAAAAAGGUAUGGUCCCAACACUUAGUAAUUUGUUUUAUGUGCUAACUAUGUUUGUUUUAGUGUUAGGGAACCUCCAAAGAAGAGCCAAAAGAAAUUGGAGGAGUUUGGCUCAAAAGAGCCAAACGUGGGCCAGUCUGUGAGUCACCAGACUGUCCGGUGGUGCACCAGACUGUUCGGUGCCGCGUAUGGAUGAAGUUUGCAGCCUCAGAAAUUUUAAUUAUAAAAUUCACCGAACUAUCCGGUGUGCAUUGGACAGGGGCUCCAACGGCUCUCUCCGCCCGCCGCGUCCGCUGGCACCAACGACUAGCUGGCGUGGCAUCUGUCCGGUGGGGCACCGGACUAUCUGGUGCCACGUUGAAAAGGAAGUCGGCCAAUCAGAUCGUCGCCUAACCAUUGCUGAUCGCAUUUCGAGUGGUUCAUCGGACUGUCCGAUGCACCCGCAUACAUGGAAACUUUUCAGUUGUCUUGUGAAGACUCCAAAGGUUCCUAUGUCUCUUGGGACUAUAAAAUGGACUAUUGAUUUAGAUUUAGUGGUAUUUUGGUUUAUUUUUAUUAAUCGCAUAACUGGUAAAGGAAUACUUAGGGCAUGUUUUAGAAUACUGAUUUUCAUAUCCAUAGUUUAUAAUAUCAUAGUUUACCAAGUACUUCCUCCAUUCUUUUUUAUUUAUCGCGUUUUAGUUAAAAAAUGAACUAGCCGGUGAUAAAUAUUCGAGAACGGAGGUAGUACCAUGACAUAAAUAUAGUAUGUUUUAUAUUAAUUUAAUCCAACACAUGUUUGGAGACAUAGUAUCAUGUUUGCAAUGUAGGAGUGGAGGAGAAAGCCAAAGUUUUUAAAGUCCUAAAAAUAUUAUGGUGUUGGUGAAACCAUAAUUUGAAAUACAGAGUUUAUAGAUAACAUAUAUGCUUAUAGAUAAUAUAUAUGCUUAAAUAUCACAAUAUUAUCUUGGACUAGAAAAACAAUGUGUUUCUAAACAGGCCCUUAGGUGUUUGAAUGACGAUAAAAAUUCUUAGAUCAUAUUGUCCAAGAAAACUUUUAGGAUUCAAAAUCGUCCUAAAAAACUUAAUGUCUUAGUAGCUCUUUAAAGUAGACUAGGCCUAUAUUACCUUGGGAUUGUGGUAUUCAUGGCUUCAUGCAUUCCUUAUAUUGCUACUGUUUUCAUUUAUGUAAAAUAUUUAUGGCUAGUUGAUUGUGAACGUGGGUUUAGAACCAACAAUUAUAGUUCGAAUCUCCAUUUAUACAUAGUUUUAUUAUUUGCUCGUCACCAACAUUAUUUUUCUCGCUCAACGAAAAGGUCAUAUCUUUGUAAUCCAUACAAUGCAUUGCUUUCAAGCAGGUGAAGCAAAGCAAAGCCAAUAAUGAUUCAUUCAUUCAGUAGGAGAAAGGAGAUGAGAUCUCAUACAUAGUUGAUUCAGAGUACAGACAUAAGACAUCAUCAGAAAUUCAUAAUGCAGCAGCCUAUGACCAGGCCCUUCUCUUGAGUCAGUGACCCCCCUUCCUCGCGCAAGCAGGCUGACAAAUGUUGGAACACUAGCCCCACAGUGGCUGGCUGUCUGACGCAAACACCACUCGAGAAGUCCGAGAUGCAUCGCACCCGGCCUCUUUUAUUUUGGGAUCGCCGCAGCCAGCAGAAUUAUUAUUAGGGUACCAGCUAGUAGUUUCUUUCGUUCGUUCCUGCAAACGCAAGCAACAACAACGAGAGUCAGCAAUGGUGGUUGUAUUGUACUAGAGAGUCAUUAGUAGGUUAGGUGGAACUGGAAGAGGGCAAACCGCAAAGGCACAGUGAGUAGUUGACUUACACCAAGGGAGGAUCUUCCAGCGCUGGUUGUCGCCCUCGCACCACUUCCAGAGCACGAUCUCGGUACCGUCAUGGACGCCGCCGUGGGCCUUGUCGCCGUGGAAGGCGUCGAAGUUGAGGUAGAUGUUGUUGACCAUGCGGACGCAGCGGAAGCCGUUGCCGACGUCGCGGCUCUCGGUCCAGAGCACGGACUCGUCCUGGUAGUCCGGGUUGUAGGGCACGAGCUUGACGGGGUGGCCCUGCCCCGUGGAGUGCUUGAGCGCCUCGCCGGUGACCUUGUUGACGAGCGCGAAGGCCGGGUAGCCCUCCUC
rnacentral:lncRNA from 1 species